UACGUAGGGGGCUAGCGUUGUCCGGAAUCAUUGGGCGUAAAGAGCGUGUAGGCGGUCCGGUAAGUCCGCUGUGAAAGUCGGGGGCUCAACCUCGAGACGCCGAUGGAAACCGUCUGGCUAGAGUCCGGAAGAGGAGAGUGGAAUUCCUGGUGUAGCGGUGAAAUGCGCAGAUAUCAGGAAGAACACCCGUGGCUAAGGCGGCUCUCUAGUACGGUACUGACGCUGAGACGCGAAAGCGUGGGGAGCGAACAGG
rnacentral:rRNA from 1 species